UACGCGGAAUCCGAAAAGCGAUAUGAGUAGGGU
rnacentral:ncRNA from 1 species